UAAAAUUAAUAUAAGUAGUAUACGAAACAACCCAAAUCUGCGCUCUUUCUUUUCAAAUAAAAAAAAAAAAAAAAAAUCAGAAAAUUUUCUCUAGUUUGUUAGAAUUACGAAACUACCCCUAAGUCAACUCACAAAAGAGGCAAAGUCCACUUCUUCUUCUUCCCCAACUCUGUCGUGGAAGCAGUUCAAUAAGGCCACGAAUUUCCUUCCAAAUGUCACUCAAAAAUCAGGUUACUCACCCAUUUGAGCUUACUCAUCAAGUGCAAAAGCACCCGGUUUAGUUACUUCUCUCACAAAAGCUUCCAUGGUUUUCAUUUGGAGGUUUUGCAAAACCAUUAGCAUGAGCUCAUGGCUUACGUGAUUCCUCUCCCAAACUUCCCUAUAAAUACUCAUGAAAUCAGGCCAUAAAACUCACCCAACCAAGCACCAACUCACAGAAAAAUAAGCACAAGAAAUUAGCUAUGUAAUUCCCGUAACUAUCCCCUGUUUUCGCGCAUCACCACCACUGUCACCACCGCGGCACCGCCGCCUAUACAACCCACUACUACCAUAAGCACCUCCUCUCGUUAACUAAGACAAAGUGAAACCAUUGUCCUUUAUGUACAAGUCAAGUUGUAACAAACCGUAGCCGAGUCGAAACCCGAAAUCACGUAGUCCCUCUCUCUCUCUCCUCAUUAGAGCGAGCCACCACCGUCUACCACCACCCAGAAGCUGCCUCCAUGAACCUCCGACCGCCUACUCUCAAAACAGUACCACUCUUGUGCCGCCUCACACGCAACCCAUCUUCCUCCUUGUCUCGUGCUUCUCUGUUUCACGAGACCAAAUUGGUCUUGAAACCAAUUCCCCCAAUUGGAGUAAUAUAGUAUACUGUACCUAAUAUCCAAAAGUCAACCUUUGCUUCCUUUUAACCACCAAAUAAAAUGAUGCUGAGCUCGGGAGAUACGGUACAUUGAACAGGAAGUACAAACUACGGUUGAGGUACGAAGAAGAUCGUGGGAUGCCUUAGAGUGAGGAUGCAACCAUCAAAUUCACGAUCGAUGUUUAAUAAAGAUAACUAUGUCAUUAGUAAUGAAGGGAUAUAUUAAUUAAACUCUAAGUUUGAUUUCACGAUUUGAGUUAGAUUUUUAAAUUAACGUUAAACAUGUUAGAAAUAUUUAUUAAGGUUUACUUAGAUUUCAAUGAAAUUUUUUAAAGAAUUAAUCGAAGUGAAGUAUAGUUACUGUUACUCAACAGUAGUCAGUAAAUGUAAAAGGUUAUGUCGCCUUGUAUUUCCCACGAGGGAGAUACGGCAAGUGACGCUCCGACUAAAUUAGGGUUUCCGCUGCUAAUUAAAGAUAAUUAACCUAAUUAAUGGUGUUUGGAAG